ensembl:lncRNA
AGAGGUUGUCACUCUCCUAAGGUUAGUGAGUGGGGGAGUGGGGAUUCGAAGCAGGACACUGGCCUUGAACCAGCCUCUAGCUGCCUAGCUAAGGUAUUUGCAACCCCAGCUCAUGCCCCCUCCCAGCACAGCAUUUUGCUUUGGAGUAAUGCUGGCUCUGGCCUGUCACUGUGCCCUGGGACAAGCCUCCUUCCCCCUCCCUGCCCACUCAGCCCACCCUCCCUGUCCCCUCUCCCUGUGGCUUGGACUUUGAACAGCAGGGACUGUCAGUGGGGCCUGGCCUGGUCGUCAGCCUUCUUGGCCUUGGUCCUGCACGUAAUCAAGUCACGUCCCCACCUGCCCAGAAUUUCUGAUGGGCUUUUCUCACUGGUUCUCACCUGUCUUCGAGCAAGACGAAAGGAGACAACUGGCGAGUCUGAUCCACCCUUCUGUGGCAUUCCCUGCUUUUUAUCUGCUCCCUGGCUGUGAAUUUCCAUGACGUGUCAGCUCUAUUCUGCUCGGAUUCUUCCUCCACUCUGUCUUUCUCUGUCCAGGUAAUUGCUUGUCCACUGUGAUGAGUAAGCAAACCCAGAUGCUCCAACCUCUUACUAUCAGUAUAAGCUGCAGACACAGUAUCAUGUUCUCAGCAGACGGCGUUGAUACUGCUUGUAUUACAUGCUGCCAUGUUAGCAUCUCUGUCCUGUUGGCAGUUCUGCGAGGGAUAAAUAGCUACUGGGCUGCAUGUGGCUUUGUGUGCUGGUGAUGGAAGCCCAGAUGCCACCGGUGUGCUGUGAGCCAUGUGGCUUCCACGCAGCUUCCUUCCAUGGAGUGUUGGUGCCCUGAUGGGGCUUCACUUCCCUUCCUGCUGUUUUCAUCUUGGAACCUACUGAUGGUUCAACUGUCCCCACAGAUGUCUGCUGUGUGUGGCCUUGGUCCCAGAUGCUGGACCCUCAGACUUAGAUGUGGCCUGGCUUAAACAUCUUUGGGGAGAUGGGCUCAGUAAGGACACAUUAAAUAAUUACAGAUAAGUGCUGCAAGGAAGAGAUUCAGGGCUCAGAGUCUUCCCAAGAGCUGGGCGCUGAAGCUGGAGUGUAGCACCUCAUUCAGCUCUGCUUUGGGGUCCUUGAGACCUCCUAUUCAGUGAUGCACUGAGAGGCCUCCCAGAACUCAGCACAUACCUGUAGUCACAGCUGAGAUUUAUUCCUUCCAUGGCUAUGCACUUUUCACACCAUCUGCUUACAUGUUGCGUCUUCUCUGCCCUGAGUGCAGGAAGCUCGUGUCCUGUGCUCCUCUGUGAUGAGUGACAAGCUUGUUCUGGCUUCUGCCCAGGUACUUUUCACUGUGCUUUCACUUGUUGGGGCUGCUGUAAUGAAGCACCACACAGUUUGUGGCCUUAAACAACAGAAUCUAUAGUUUCAAAGUCUGGAGGCCAGAAGUCUAAGGUCAAGGUGCCGGCAGAGUGGCCCCUUUUAAGGGCUGUGAGGGAGGGGACUCCUCUCUGCUCCCAAGCAGCUGUCUUUUCUCCGUGUCUCUUCACUUCUUGUUCCCUCUGUGUGUGUCUGUUUCUGUGCCCAAAUUCUCCUUUUUUAUAAGGACUCCAGCUAUGUAGGAUUAGGGUUCACCUUAAGUGAGGGUAAUAAACCUCACUUAAGCUUGAUUGUGUCUGUAAAGAUCUUGUCUCCAAAUAAAGUCAUUCUGAACUAUUAGGGGUUAAAACGUCCUCAUACUUUGGGGGAUGCACAAGAGGCUAUAAUGCCCUGUUGUAACCAUUUUCCUUCUAACGUUUCUGUUCUCCACUAACUGGGUGUUCCAGCAGGACAUGCAUAUUUGGGGUGGCACUGUAUGCUGAACACUUAAUACUGGGGCUAAAAUCCAGAAUGAGCUCUAGAAAUGUUUGUUGAAUGAGUGAUGACUAAAAAGGAGGGAUUAGAGAGAUAGAAGGAGAACCAGGAAGUUGGCAUCUUGAGGAAGCCGAGAGAGUUCUAGAAAUGCAGGUAUCCACCCCUGUACCUCAUCCUGCAGCUACACCAAGAAGGUGGUAAUGAAACGUGUCUGCCAGAUUGGUGCCGUGGAGGUCAAGGGUAAGUGUCAGGUGCCCAAGAGUAAAGCCAGGUUUCACUGGAUUGGGAUGGACGGGGACACUGGAAGCUGACUGGGAUGGACAGGGACACUGGAAGGUGAUUGGGAUGGACGGGGACACUGGAAGGUGAUUGGGAUGGAUGGGGAAUUGGAAGGUGACCAGGAUGGAUGGGAACACUGCAAGCUGACUGGGGUGAAUGAGGAACUUAAAGCUGAUUGCUAUGGAUGGGGAGACUGGAAGGAAGCUGAUGGGGAUGGACAGGGAUACUGGAAGAAGGGACAGUGUUACUAACUUGUGGGCGUACCAAGCAAGUUGAAGAUUUGUCCCAAGCAUGGGAGGCUGGCUCAAUGUUGAAAAUCAACCAGUGUAAACCAUCCCUUAGCAAAGAAGAAAGGUCAUAGAAGAUAAGUCCUAUGAUCAUAUCG